rnacentral:rRNA from 1 species
CCUGGCUCAGGAUGAACGCUAGCUACAGGCUUAACACAUGCAAGUCGAGGGGCAGCAUGGUCUUAGCUUGCUAAGGCCGAUGGCGACCGGCGCACGGGUGAGUAACACGUAUCCAACCUGCCGUCUACUCUUGGACAGCCUUCUGAAAGGAAGAUUAAUACAAGAUGGCAUCAUGAGUCCGCAUGUUCACAUGAUUAAAGGUAUUCCGGUAGACGAUGGGGAUGCGUUCCAUUAGAUAGUAGGCGGGGUAACGGCCCACCUAGUCUUCGAUGGAUAGGGGUUCUGAGAGGAAGGUCCCCCACAUUGGAACUGAGACACGGUCCAAACUCCUACGGGAGGCAGCAGUGAGGAAUAUUGGUCAAUGGGCGAGAGCCUGAACCAGCCAAGUAGCGUGAAGGAUGACUGCCCUAUGGGUUGUAAACUUCUUUUAUAAAGGAAUAAAGUCGGGUAUGGAUACCCGUUUGCAUGUACUUUAUGAAUAAGGAUCGGCUAACUCCGUGCCAGCAGCCGCGGUAAUACGGAGGAUCCGAGCGUUAUCCGGAUUUAUUGGGUUUAAAGGGAGCGUAGAUGGAUGUUUAAGUCAGUUGUGAAAGUUUGCGGCUCAACCGUAAAAUUGCAGUUGAUACUGGAUAUCUUGAGUGCAGUUGAGGCAGGCGGAAUUCGUGGUGUAGCGGUGAAAUGCUUAGAUAUCACGAAGAACUCCGAUUGCGAAGGCAGCCUGCUAAGCUGCAACUGACAUUGAGGCUCGAAAGUGUGGGUAUCAAACAGGAUUAGAUACCCUGGUAGUCCACACGGUAAACGAUGAAUACUCGCUGUUUGCGAUAUACAGCAAGCGGCCAAGCGAAAGCGUUAAGUAUUCCACCUGGGGAGUACGCCGGCAACGGUGAAACUCAAAGGAAUUGACGGGGGCCCGCACAAGCGGAGGAACAUGUGGUUUAAUUCGAUGAUACGCGAGGAACCUUACCCGGGCUUAAAUUGCAGAUGAAUUACGGUGAAAGCCGUAAGCCGCAAGGCAUCUGUGAAGGUGCUGCAUGGUUGUCGUCAGCUCGUGCCGUGAGGUGUCGGCUUAAGUGCCAUAACGAGCGCAACCCUUGUUGUCAGUUACUAACAGGUUCCGCUGAGGACUCUGACAAGACUGCCAUCGUAAGAUGUGAGGAAGGUGGGGAUGACGUCAAAUCAGCACGGCCCUUACGUCCGGGGCUACACACGUGUUACAAUGGGGGGUACAGAGGGCCGCUACCACGCGAGUGGAUGCCAAUCCCCAAAACCUCUCUCAGUUCGGACUGGAGUCUGCAACCCGACUCCACGAAGCUGGAUUCGCUAGUAAUCGCGCAUCAGCCACGGCGCGGUGAAUACGUUCCCGGGCCUUUACACAC